rnacentral:misc_RNA from 1 species
CUUGCUCUGUUUUCAUCUUCCUACCUAAGGAACUUCUCUCGCUCACUAAACCACCGCCACGGCUCACGAUAGCGGGCGCAGUUCCUUUCAUGUCUCCUCUAUAUAUUUAAGCUUGCUUCAAAAUCAACUUUUUCUUUUUGUUCUUUCUCGGGAAAGUUCUUUGUAUGAAAAGAAAGAGAAGAAGAAAAAUAUUUCAUUAUCUUUCAGAUCCUCUCAUUGUUAGCUGGAUCUUCCGAACGUAAUCAAGCUUUACACCAACAAUUCAUUGGAUGCUGAAGCCUCUUCGCACGGCUUGUGGCAUUUUCGGCAUGUGGGGAAGACAGCGUGAGACAAACUCGAUGUACAAGCGUCUGUCGUCAAGAGAUUAUGCAAACAUAGUCGAUGUAGAAGAUAAUUCUGCCCUUGUACAGAAGGAUCAGCAUCCAGAAGCUACAAAUCCUCCAUGGAGGCUUUCUUUUCCACAUGUACUGGUGGCAACCAUUUCAUCCUUCUUAUUUGGCUAUCAUCUUGGUGUGGUAAAUGAACCACUUGAAAGCAUUUCAUUGGAUCUAGGAUUCAAUGGAAAUACCUUGGCAGAAGG